UCAGACCGAUUAGUGCUCACGUUUUCCUCGAUUGGCAAUGGUGUUUGUGCCAGAUCGAUUGGCGCUCACAUUUGCCGCUGGCCGACUGGCAAUGGCGUUUGUGCCAGAUCGAUUGGCACUCACAUUUGCCGCUGGCCGACUGGCAAUGGUGUUUGUGCCAGAUCGAUUGGCACUCACGUUUGUGCCGGGCUGUUUUUUCGACCUCUUUUCGAUAUAUAAGGAUACACAGCACCGGUUCUAUCAAACGUAAGCUUUCAGCCUCUUUCGGUC
rnacentral:miRNA from 1 species